CGGUAAUUCAGAGGGUGCAAGCGCUAAUCGGAAUUUCUGGGCGUAAAGCGAGCGUAGGUGGCUAGAUAAGUCAGAUGUGAAAGCCCCGGGCUUANCCUGGGAACGGCAUAUGAUACUGUUAGGCUAGAGUAGGUGAGAGGAAGGUAGAAUUCCAGGUGUAGCGGUGAAAUGCGUAGAGAUCUGGAGGAAUACCGAUGGCGAAGGCAGCCUUCUGGCAUCAUACUGACACUGAGGUUCGCAAGCGUGGGUAGCAAACAGGAUUAGAUCCCCCGGCAGUCCCCCCCGUAAAGGAUGUC
rnacentral:rRNA from 1 species